rnacentral:rRNA from 1 species
UACGUAGGGGGCUAGCGUUGUCCGGAAUCAUUGGGCGUAAAGAGCGUGUAGGCGGCCCGGUAAGUCCGCUGUAAAAGUCAAAGGCUCAACCUUUGAAUGUCAGUGGAUACUGCCGGGCUAGAGUCCGGAAGAGGCGAGUGGAACUCCUGGUGUAGCGGUGGAAUGCGCAGAUAUCAGGAAGAACACCUAUGGCGAAGGCAGCACUCUGGGCCUUACCUGACGCUGAGGAGCGAAAGCGUGGGGAGCGAACCGG